rnacentral:sRNA from 1 species
ACAGCGCCGACAGCUCGUCUCCCCCAACCGCCACUCCAUGAAAAGGUGCAUUGCACCCUGAGUCACGCCACUGCUAUUAUCCGAUGACACCCUCGAUCAGAAACCCAGGGCUUGAAGAAUGUAUCUAUAUGACAAUGUUUUUUUUUUAUCAUCCAUACACGUCCAUGCAUACAAUACUUGCUGCAUGUAGAUAUAUCCAUGCCCUGGGAAGAAUAUAACAAGGGAGGAAAAUAGCGUGAGGAGGAAGCAGAAGCAGAAGCAGAAGCAUCGAAGAAGCAAAGGAAGGGCAAAACAAGCGACUGCAGAUCGCAUCUUCCAGUCCAGCCCAGCCCCAGCCCAGUACCCUACUCUGCUCUCCAUACACAGCAAAUAUCAAAGAGGGCUACAUACGUACUGUAUGUACAUUAGCCAUCAUUACACAAC